GUGGGGAAUAUUGGACAAUGGGCGCAAGCCUGAUCCAGCCAUGCCGCGUGAGUGAUGAAGGCCUUAGGGUUGUAAAGCUCUUUCGUCAGGGAAGAUAAUGACGGUACCUGAAGAAGAAGCCCCGGCUAACUUCGUUCCAGCAGCCGCGGUAAUACGAAGGGGGCUAGCGUUGCUCGGAAUCACUGGGCGUAAAGCGCACGUAGGCGGCUUUCUAAGUCAGGGGUGAAAUCCUGGAGCUCAACUCCAGAACUGCUUUUGAUACUGGAGAGCUUGAGUUCGGGAGAGGUGAGUGGAACUGCUAGUGUAGAGGUGAAAUUCGUAGAUAGUCGCAAGAACACCAGUGGCGAAGGCGGCUCACUGGCCCGAUACUGACGCUGAGGUGCGAAAGCGUGGGGAGCAAACAGGAUUAGAUACCCUAGUAGUCC
rnacentral:rRNA from 1 species